ACAAAGUUAGUCCACAUAAAUUUGUUAGUGUUUAUAUUCAAACAACACACGUGACGGACCUGACUAAACCUCAUUGGUUCUUGGGAUUCAGUACGUCACAUUGGCUUCCUGAUUCAGUUGUUCGAUACACAACGUGCGUGAUCGUUGGUAAUAUGGAUUAAAAGUUGAAACUAAAACUGUUAAAUUAUAUAUAGUGAUCAUCAGAGGACUUGGCUGAAACAACGCGAUUCACAUGGAUUACUUCGGCGAUGUUUUUUAUUGCUGUUGCGAUUAACUUUUUGAAAUGUGAGCAGUUUUUAAGUAGGUUAUCAAGUGGAUCUGACAUCGAGGGGAAAUAUACGUUUCUUGGAUUUCAUUAAAGUACAUCGGUUUUUGUUUGAAGAUGAAUGAGAGAACAUGAGGCACAGCGGCAUUCAAAUUGACCAAUCAGAGCCGAGAAUAUCUAAUAAGUCGAAGUAGAGAUGAACAGAUGAAGAUACAGCCCGUAAAAAUACUUAUUCUUGGUGAGUGCCAUGUAGCGACGGAUCAAACGAACACUCAUGUCAAGCUUGAUGAGGACACAG